rnacentral:rRNA from 1 species
UACGGGGGGGGUAAGCGUUGUUCGGAAUUACUGGGCGUAAAGGGCUCGUAGGCGGUCUGUUGCGUCAGGAGUGAAAACUCAGGGCUUAACCCUGAGCCUGCUUCCGAUACGGGCAGACUAGAGGUAUGCAGGGGAGAACGGAAUUCCUGGUGUAGCGGUGAAAUGCGCAGAUAUCAGGAGGAACACCGGUGGCGAAGGCGGUUCUCUGGGCAUUACCUGACGCUGAGGAGCGAAAGUGUGGGGAGCGAACAGG